rnacentral:rRNA from 1 species
AACGAACGCUGGCGGCAUGCCUAACACAUGCAAGUCGAGCGAGACCUUCGGGUCUAGUGGCGCACGGGUGCGUAACGCGUGGGAACCUGCCCUUAGGUUCGGAAUAACUCCCCGAAAGGGGUGCUAAUACCGGAUAAUGUCUUCGGACCAAAGAUUUAUCGCCUUUGGAUGGGCCCGCGUUGGAUUAGCUAGUUGGUAGGGUAAAAGCCUACCAAGGCGACGAUCCAUAGCUGGUCUGAGAGGAUGAUCAGCCACACUGGGACUGAGACACGGCCCAGACUCCUACGGGAGGCAGCAGUGGGGAAUAUUGGACAAUGGGCGAAAGCCUGAUCCAGCAAUGCCGCGUGAGUGAUGAAGGCCUUAGGGUUGUAAGCUCUUUUACCCGGGAUGAUAAUGACAGUACCGGGAGAAUAAGCUCCGGCUAACUCCGUG